rnacentral:rRNA from 1 species
AUUGAACGCUGGCGGCAUGCUUUACACAUGCAAGUCGAACGGCAGCGCGGGCUUCGGCCUGGCGGCGAGUGGCGAACGGGUGAGUAAUGCAUCGGAACGUGCCCAGUAGUGGGGGAUAGCCCGGCGAAAGCCGGAUUAAUACCGCAUACGACCUGAGGGUGAAAGCGGGGGACCGAAAGGCCUCGCGCUAUUGGAGCGGCCGAUGUCGGAUUAGCUAGUUGGUGGGGUAAAGGCUUACCAAGGCGACGAUCCGUAGCUGGUCUGAGAGGACGACCAGCCACACUGGGACUGAGACACGGCCCAGACUCCUACGGGAGGCAGCAGUGGGGAAUGUUGGACAAUGGGGGCAACCCUGAUCCAGCCAUGCCGCGUGCGGGAAGAAGGCCUUCGGGUUGUAAAACGCUUUUGUUCGGGAAGAAAUCCUCUGGGCUAAUACCCCGGGGGGAUGACGGUACCGGAAGAAUAAGCGCCGGCUAACUACGUG